rnacentral:rRNA from 1 species
GACGAACGCUGGCGGCGUGCCUAAUACAUGCAAGUUGAGCGCUGAAGGUUGGUACUUGUACCAACUGGAUGAGCAGCGAACGGGUGAGUAACGCGUGGGGAAUCUGCCUUUGAGCGGGGGACAACAUUUGGAAACGAAUGCUAAUACCGCAUAAAAACUUUAAACACAAGUUUUAAGUUUGAAAGAUGCAAUUGCAUCACUCAAAGAUGAUCCCGCGUUGUAUUAGCUAGUUGGUGAGGUAAAGGCUCACCAAGGCGAUGAUACAUAGCCGACCUGAGAGGGUGAUCGGCCCCAUUGGGACUGGGACACGGCCCAAACUCCUACGGGAGGCAGCAGUAGGGAAUCUUCGGCAAUGGGCGAAAGUCUGACCGAGCAACGCCGCGUGAGUGAAGAAGGUUUUCGGAUCGUAAAACUCUGUUGGUAGAGAAGAACGUUGGUGAGAGUGGAAAGCUCAUCAAGUGACGGUAACUACCCAGAAAGGGACGGCUAACUACGUG